GCUCAGGUCGUUAGAUACAUCAGGCAGUGUGCUGCAUGAGCUGUCGGCUUCUAUGCCGCGGCUUGAAGGUUUGCCUUGUGGAGUGCUUGAAUCGCGACUCUUGGGAUUCAUUUCCUGGGUCGGUCUCGAGCGUCGCUAGGCAAGGCGUGGGAUCGAAGUUUCAGUCCCUCUGACGCCCCUCCAAAUU
rnacentral:misc_RNA from 1 species